UACGUAGGAGGCAAGCGUUGUCCGGAAUCAUUGGGCGUAAAGAGCGCGUAGGCGGCCCGAUAAGUCCGCUGUGAAAGUCAAGGGCUCAACCCUUGAAUGCCGGUGGAUACUGUCGGGCUAGAGUCCGGAAGAGGCGAGUGGAAUUCCUGGUGUAGCGGUGAAAUGCGCAGAUAUCGGGAGGAACACCAAUGGCGAAGGCAGCUCGCUGGGACGGUACUGACGCAGAGACGCGAAAGCGUGGGGAGCAAACAGG
rnacentral:rRNA from 1 species